rnacentral:rRNA from 1 species
CUGGCGGCGUGCUUAACACAUGCAAGUCGAACGCUGAAGCGCCCAGCUUGCUGGGUGUGGAUGAGUGGCGAACGGGUGAGUAACACGUGAGUAACCUGCCCCUGACUUCGGGAUAAGCCUGGGAAACUGGGUCUAAUACCGGAUAUGACUACUGGCCGCAUGGUCUGGUGGUGGAAAGGGUUUUACUGGUUGGGGAUGGACUCGCGGCCUAUCAGUUUGUUGGUGGGGUAGUGGCCUACCAAGACGACGACGGGUAGCCGGCCUGAGAGGGCGACCGGCCACACUGGGACUGAGACACGGCCCAGACUCCUACGGGAGGCAGCAGUGGGGAAUAUUGCACAAUGGGGGGAACCCUGAUGCAGCGACGCCGCGUGCGGGAUGACGACCUUCGGGUUGUAAACCGCUUUCAGUAGGGAAGAAGCGAAAGUGACGGUACCUGCAGAAGAAGUACCGGCUAACUACGUGCCAGCAGCCGCGGUAAUACGUAGGGUACAAGCGUUGUCCGGAAUUAUUGGGCGUAAAGAGCUCGUAGGUGGUUGGUCACGUCUGCUGUGGAAACGCAACGCUUAACGUUGCGCGUGCAGUGGGUACGGGCUGACUAGAGUGCAGUAGGGGAGUCUGGAAUUCCUGGUGUAGCGGUGAAAUGCGCAGAUAUCAGGAGGAACACCGGUGGCGAAGGCGGGACUCUGGGCUGUAACUGACGCUGAGGAGCGAAAGCAUGGGGAGCGAACAGGAUUAGAUACCCUGGUAGUCCAUGCCGUAAACGUUGGGAACUAGGUGUGGGGUCCAUUCCACGGAUUCCGUGCCGUAGCUAACGCAUUAAGUUCCCCGCCUGGGGAGUACGGCCGCAAGGCUAAAACUCAAAUGAAUUGACGG